GUGCGUCACUUCGACAGCACAUAUACUAAAAUGAGAACAAUACAGAGAAGACUCAUAUGGCCCCUGUGCAAAAAUGGCACAUAAAUUCAUGAAGUGUUCCAUGUUUCU